CCAGACUCCUACGGGAGGCUGCAGUCGAGAAUCAUUCGCAAUGGGCGAAAGCCUGACGAUGCGACGCUGUGUGAGCGAUGAAGGCCUUCGGGUCGUAAAGCUCUUUCGCCUGGGAACAAGAGAGGCA
rnacentral:rRNA from 1 species